AGAUCAUGAUUUCAUGAUGCAUGGAGAAGCCCAAAAGUUGAUCCCACGAUGAGAAGCCAAGUAACUUAUCACAUGAUUUCAUGAUGCAUGGAGAAGACCAAAAGUUGAUCCCACGAUUAGAAGCCAAGUAGCUGAUCACACGAUUUCACGAUGCAUGGAGAAGUCUAAAAGCUGAUCCCACGUUGAGAAGCCAAGUAGUUGAUCACACGAUUUCACGAUGCAUGGAGAAGCCCAAAAUCUGAUCCC
rnacentral:lncRNA from 1 species